AGCGGCGGACGGCUGAGUAAUGUCUGGGAAACUGCCUGAUGGAGGGGGAUAACUACUGGAAACGGUAGCUAAUACCGCAUAACGUCGCAAGACCAAAGAGGGGGACCUUCGGGCCUCUUGCCAUCAGAUGUGCCCAGAUGGGAUUAGCUAGUAGGUGGGGUAAUGGCUCACCUAGGCGACGAUCCCUAGCUGGUCUGAGAGGAUGACCAGCCACACUGGAACUGAGACACGGUCCAGACUCCUACGGGAGGCAGCAGUGGGGAAUAUUGCACAAUGGGCGCAAGCCUGAUGCAGCCAUGCCGCGUGUGUGAAGAAGGCCUUCGGGUUGUAAAGCACUUUCAGCGAGGAGGAAGGUGGUGAGCUUAAUACGCUCAUCAAUUGACGUUACUCGCAGAAGAAGCACCGGCUAACUCCGUGCCAGCAGCCGCGGUAAUACGGAGGGUGCAAGCGUUAAUCGGAAUUACUGGGCGUAAAGCGCACGCAGGCGGUUUGUUAAGUCAGAUGUGAAAUCCCCGGGCUCAACCUGGGAACUGCAUUUGAAACUGGCAAGCUAGAGUCUCGUA
rnacentral:rRNA from 1 species